rnacentral:rRNA from 1 species
CCUACGGGCGGCAGCAGUGGGGGAUAUUGCACAAUGGGGGGAACCCUGAUGCAGCGACGCCGCGUGGGUGAAGGAGCGUUUCGGCGCGUAAAGCCCCAGCGGUAUGGAAGAAAAUGACAGAACCUGACCAAGAAGCCCCGGCUAACUACGAGCCUGCAGCCGCGGUAAUGCGGAGGGGGCAAGCGUGAUCCUGAUUUCCUGUGAGUAGAGGGGGAGCAGACGGCACUGCAAGCGAGGAGUGAAAGCCCGGGGCUCAACCCCGGGACGGCUCAUGGAACUGCGUGGCUGGAGUACAGGUGGGGGAGGCGGAAUUCCUGGUGUAGCGGUGAAAUGCGUAGAUAUUGGGAGGAACACCGGUGGCGAAGGCGGCCUGCUGGACUUUGACUGACGUUGAGGCCCGAAGGCGAGGGGAGCAAACGGGAUUAGAUACCCGAGUAGUC